rnacentral:rRNA from 1 species
AGAGUUUGAUCCUGGCUCAGGAUGAACGCUAGCGGCAGGCUUAAUACAUGCAAGUCGAGGGGCAGCACGGUAGCAAUACUGGUGGCGACCGGCGCACGGGUGCGUAACACGUAUACAAUCUACCUAAAACAGGGGGGAUAGCCUUUCGAAAGAGAGAUUAAUACCCCGUAACAUAGAAAAUGGCAUCAUUUUAUAUUGAAAGCUCCGGCGGUUUUAGAUGAGUAUGCGUCUGAUUAGCUAGUAGGUGAGGUAACGGCUCACCUAGGCGACGAUCAGUAGGGGAUCUGAGAGGACUACCCCCCACACUGGUACUGAGACACGGACCAGACUCCUACGGGAGGCAGCAGUAAGGAAUAUUGGUCAAUGGGCGCAAGCCUGAACCAGCCAUGCCGCGUGCAGGAAGACGGCCCUAUGGGUUGUAAACUGCUUUUGUACCAGAGAAAACCCUUCUACGUGUAGGAGGUUGAUAGUAUGGUAAGAAUAAGCAUCGGCUAACUUCGUGCCAGCAGCCGCGGUAAGACGAAGGAUGCAAGCGUUAUCCGGAUUCAUUGGGUUUAAAGGGUGCGUAGGCGGACCUGUAAGUCAGUGGUGAAAUCUCUCAGCUUAACUGAGAAACUGCCAUUGAUACUGCAAGUCUAGAGUAUAGAUGACGUUGGCGGAAUAUGACAUAGUGGUGAAAUACUUAGAUAUGUCAUAGAACACCGAUUGCGAAGGCAGCUAACGAAACUAUAACUGACGCUGAGGCACGAAAGUGCGGGGAUCAAACAGGAUUAGAUACCCUAGUAGUCC